ensembl:lncRNA
AUGACUACAGCUUCAUCAACCACACCUACACCAACAAACAUUCCAACAGCAUCAACAGUUGUACCUUCAGUAUCCACUACUUUCACUUCAACAACAGUGCCUACAUCUUCAGAAACAAGUGCAACUGUAACAACUUCAGCAACUAAAGCAUCCUCAACUGCUGAAAUUCCCACCACCACAGUUAUGAGUACAGAAACCACACCUAUUCCUUCAACAGUGUUGCCCACAACUUCGAAGAGUACAACAGCUGAAACCAUGACUACAGCUUCAUCAGCGAUAUCUACGACAACAAAUAAUCCAACAUCAAAAGCUGUAACUUCAGCAUCCACAGCUCUCACUUCAACAACAUUGCCUACAUCUUCAGAAACAACUGCACCUGUAACAACUUCAGUAACUAAAGCAUCCUCAACUAUCAAAAUUUCCACAACCACAGCUGUGAGUACAGAAACCACACCUAUUACUUCAACAGUGUUGCCCACAACUUUGAAGAGUACAACAGCUGAAACCAUGACUACAGCUUCAUCAACCACACCUACAAAAACGAACAAUCCAACAACAUCAACAUUUGUAACUUCUGAAUCUACAACUCCUACUUCAACAGUUAUAGCUACAUCUUCAGAAACAACUACACCUCUAACAAAAUCAGUAACUACAGCAUCCUCAACUACUGAAAUUCCCACAACCACAGUUGUGAGUACUGAAUCCAUAACUCUUACUUCAACAGCUAAGCCUACAUCUUCAGAAUCUACUGCAACUGUAACAUCAGUAACUACAGUAUCCUCAAAAACCUAUAUUCCCACAACCACGGUUGUGAGAACAGAAACCACACCUAUCAUUUCGACAGUGGUGCCUACAACUUCAGAGAGUACAACGGCAGAAGCUAUGACUACGGCUUCAUCAACUAUAUUUACAGCAAAGAACACUCCAACAACAUCAACAGCUGUAACUUCAGAAUCCUCAACUCUCACUUCAACAACAGUGCCUACAUCUUCAGAAACAACUGCACCUGUAACAACAUCAGUAACUACAGCUUCCUCACCUACAACUGUACCUUCCUCUAUGACAUCAGCUCCAAUGUCAUCUGAAGCUCCAAGUACAACAACAUCUAAAACCACAUUGCUGCUUGCAACCACAUCUACUGGAGCUCUCACAUCCACUGUUGUGACUUCAGGAGCAACAACUCUUACGUCUACAACAAUGCCUACAACAUCAGAAAGUACAACUACACCUGCAGCAAGCACAACUGCAGCUUCCACAGCCACAGUGGGGCCAUCCACUACUGUGACUACAGCUUCCGAAAUUACAACUGCAUCUUCAACAUCUACAGCUUCCUCAGCUGCGAUAGUGCAUUCUACUACUACAUCAUCAUCUCCAACCUCAUCUGAAUCUCGAGGUACAGCAACUAAUUAUCCAACAACAUCAACAGCUGUAAUUUCAACAACAAUGGCUACAUCUUCAGAAACAUCUGCACCUGUAACAACAUCAGUAACUACAGCUUCCUCAUCUAUAAAUGUACCUUCCUCUAUGACAUCAGCUCCAAUGUCAUCUGAAGCUCCAAGUGCAACAACAGCUCAAACCACAAUGCCACUUGCACCUGCAACUACUGAAACACUCACAAUCACCAAAAUGACUUCAGAAACCACAACUGCACCAACAACAUCGAUAACUACAACGUCCACAACUACCACUGUAGCUUCAACGACAACAGCAGCUUCUCUUGCAACAACCACAACUACAGCUUCCAUCACCACAACCAUUCCUUCCACUUCUACAUCAGAUCAAACCACACCUAAGGCUGCAAGUACAACAUCAAAAGGUCCGAACACAAAUUCAGAAAGUAUAACUUCACCUGCUGUAACCACAGAUUCCACAACCAUGAUGGAAUAUUCAACUACUACAUCAAGUUUAACCCCAGCCACAACUACUGAAACCUCAACUCUUACUUCACCAACAAUGUCUACAACUUCAGAAAGUACUCCUGCACCUGCAACAUCCACCAUUACAGCUUCCUCUUCUACGAAUAACUAUCCCACAACAGAAAAUCCAUCUCAAACCUCAACUUCAAUUCCAGGCACAAACACACCUACAGCGGCAACAACAACUGCAUUCCGAAUAACAACUGCACCUCUAUCAACCACAACUAUUGCUUUCACUAAUACAGCUCCAGCUCUAAGCCAAGCAGGACUCCUUACCACAACAAAUGCACCUCCAAUUAUCACAACUGUGUCUCCGGAGACUGUAACUAUUGCUGUAACAAUUAUGCCUAUCUCAUCAUCACAUGUAACUAUAUCCCCAACUUUAACUCCAAUAAAAACAACUGAACCUCCAAGAACCCCAACUACACCCAUUACAACCAUGACUGUUCUUCCCACCACUACAGUUCCAGCUGAUAUCUCAACUACAGCUCCAACCACAACAACAGCCACUAUUCCAAGUUCAACUGCAGCUCAAACAACAACUGCAUUUCAAGUAACAACAGGAGAUCUUUUAAGAACAACUGUAGCUUUUACCAACACAUCUUCUGCUCCAGCCACACUUGCACUUUCAACCAAAACAACUCCAAUCCCAAACAUGGAUUCAGAAACUACAACUGCAUCAACAACUACAACUGGAAUUAAUACAGGUCUCACCAGUGCAGCAGAAUUUCCAAUAGCUCCAAUAACAUCAGUUUCAAACACAAAUGCAUCAACAUCCCCAGCAUCUACAAUUCCAAGUCAAUCAUCAAUCAAAACAACACCAGCUGAAACUCUUUCUAGCAAUACUACACCUCUAAACAAUGCAACAAAAGCAGAUGCAUCUGCAACACUUCAAAGUACUUCAAGUUUGCAACCAGAAACUUCAAACAUACCCAAAACAUUGUCAACAAAUGUGACUGGUGCAGCAACAGUCACAACCAUAUUGGUAUUCUCAUCCUUGUCGUCAGUGCCCAAUGAAAAUUUGGUCCUAGGUGCUAUCAGUACUCUUCUGGAAUCUAGACAGUCCCAACUCAAUGGAUCACUGAAGAUUGUAAAAUUUACUUAUCAGAAAAUCUCAGAAACCUCCUAUGUCGUCAUCUUUGACUUUAGUCUGAGUAAUAUCAGCAUGCCAGAGGAACCUGAUCUAAGAAACAACAGUUAUGUUCAAGUACAAGAUGUCAUCAAUAAUGCGCUGAACACUCUUCUGAAUGAACCUGGCAGUCUAACUUUACAACCCAAGACCUCCAACUUCACGAGCAAUUCAAGUCUGAUUGAUGGCAGGAUGGAAUACAACUUCCAGGAUGGAGAUGUCAUACAACCAGUCAGCUUCCUAAAUAUGCUACAUUUACAGACCACUACAACAUUGUUUCCGGAAACAACAUUUUUUUUCUCUGUAACUCCUUCCAAACUCAUAUCUGGUUCAGCAGUGGUCACAAGCAAGCUGGUGUUCAACACCUCAUCUCCAGUUCCCAGUGAAUCUCUGGUCCUCAGUGCAAUCAAAACUCUGCGUAAUUCCAGAGAGUCACAGCUCAAUGAAUCGGUGAAGGUGGUGAAUGUCACCUAUGAGAAAAUCUCAGAAACCUCCUAUGCUGUGGUCUUUACAUUUAACGUGAUUAACAUCACCAUGCCAGAGGAACCUAAGUCUAGAGGCAACACCAACCAGAAAGUGCAGGAUACCAUCAAUAAUGCGCUGAAUACUCUUCUGAAUGAACCUGGAAGUCCAACUUUACAACCAAAGUCCUCCAACUUCACAAGCACUUCAAACCAGAUUGAUGGCAGGAUGGAAUACAGCUUCCAGGAUGGAGAUGUCAUACAACCAGUCAGCUUCCUCAAUGAGCUACGUCUACCAACCACUACAACAGUGUUUCCAGAAACAACAACCAGUGUUUCUGUUACUACUCCAAACCUCAUAUCUGGUUCAGCAGUGGUCACAAGCAAGCUGGUGUUCAACUCCUCAUCUCCAGUCCCCAGUGAAUCUCUGGUCCUCAGUGCAAUCAAAACUCUGCGUAAUUUCAGAGAGUCACAGCUCAAUGAAUUGGUGAAGGUGGUGAAUGUCACCUAUGAGAAAAUCUCAGAAACCUCCUAUGCUGUGGUCUUUACAUUUAACGUGAUUAACAUCAGCAUGCCAGAGGACCCUGUGUCUAGAGGCAACACCAACCAGAAAGUGCAGGAUACCAUCAAUAAUGCGCUGAACACUCUUCUGAAUGAACCUGGAAGUCCAAAUUUACAACCCAAGUCAUCAAACUUCACAAGCACUUCAAACCAGAUUGAUGGCAGGAUGGAAUACAGCUUCCAGGAUGGAGAUGUCAUACAACCAGUCAGCUUCCUCAAUGAGCUACGUCUACCAACCACUACAACAGUGUUUCCAGAAACAACAACCAGUGUUUCUGUUACUACUUCAAACCUCAUAUCUGGUUCAGCAGUGGUCACAAGCAAGCUGGUUUUCAACUCCUCAUCUCCAGUCCCCAGUGAAUCUCUGGUCCUCAAUGCAAUCAAAACUCUGCGUAAUUCCAGAGAGUCACAGCUCAAUGAAUCGGUGAAGGUGGUGAAUGUCACCUAUGAGAAAAUGUCAGAAACCUCCUAUGCUGUGGUCUUUACAUUUAACGUAAUUAACAUCAGCAUGCCAAAGGAACCUGUGUCUAGAGGCAACACCAACCAGAAAGUGCAGGAUACCAUCAAUAAAGCGCUGAAUACUCUUCUGAAUGAACCUGGAAGUCCAACUUUUCAACCAAAGUCAUCAAACUUCACAAGCACUUCAAACCAGAUUGAUGGCAGAAUGGAAUACACCUUCCAGGAUGGAGAUGUCAUACAACCAGUCAGCUUCCUCAAUGAGCUUCGUUCACAGACAGUCUUAACGACAGCCAGCACUCUGACAACUACUCCACUGAUAGUGCGUGGCAAAGCGCUUAUAUUCAUUCGCCUCGUGUUUGUCACACUGGGCCCCCUGCCAAAUCCAGAGAAGGUUCUUGAGGUGGCCAACACUCUGCUUCAGACGCGUCUCAAAACUAAACAAGACACCAGUACUCAAGACCUGAGUGAUCCUGUGAGCUUUGUCAAUGUCACAUAUACAAAAAUAAAUGAGACGGCCUAUGCUCUCAACUUUGGAUUUGAAAUCAGCAAUAUAACCAUGACAGAGAAGCUUGAACUCAGGAAUGGCACCCACCUGUUAAUACAAGACUCUAUAAACUCAUUGCUGGGCAAGAUCCUUCUCAGUAACUCAUCAGCGCCUAUCAUUAAGUUCCAACCAGCUGAUUUCACGGGUAAUUCCACAGUAAUUAAGGCCAAUGUAGAGUAUGUUUUCUCACCAAGUGACAUCACGCAACCCAGCAUCUUUGUUCAGGAACUUCUCCAACUUAAUGAAGCGAGCACUCUGACAAGCACAACUUCACCACCGAUCUUGACUAGGAGGGCAAUUAUUAAGAUUCGUCUGGAGUUUAUCACACUGGGCCCAAGACCAAGUGAGAGUAAUGUUCUACAGGUGGUUAAAUCUAUGCUGGCCACAAAUCUCACAACUAAACUAACCACGAGAGUAACAAGCGUGAGCGAACCUGUGACCUUGAAUAAUGUUGUGUAUAUCGGAAUUAAUGACACCGCCUACGCACUGAUUUUUGCAUUCGAAAUGAACAAAGUAUUACUGACAGAGAUACAAAGGCAAGAAGCCUACAAAGAAAUCCAAAACAAGAUAAAUGAUUUGGUGAAGCAGAUACUAAAGGACCCCUCGGUUAAUCUGCUCAUUCCAGCCGAUUUCAAGGAUGAUCUCCUUGUGAUCGAGGCCAAUGUUACGUAUGUUUUCUCAGAACGUAACAGUAACACGGGCUCCGGUUUCUUGGUCAGUGCCCUUUUCAAGGCUUUUACCACACCAGCUCCAACCACCAUGAACACUACAAUCUCAAACAACAGUACUAAUGCAGCAUGGAUUGUGGCUAUCAUUGUCCCCUGUGCUAUUGUCAUCGGGCUCGUACCUUGCUGGAUUCUCCUUUGCUGUUUGCUGUGUGGUUGCUGUGCAGCAAUCAGAAGACGCUGGCACAGAAGACAGUCGUACAAUGUGCAGUACACCACUCGAAACAGUCUCUUCUAAAGAGUUCUGAGAUAUUUGACAAAAGCAGGACUGAAAACCAAUGAGAACAUAAAAAUCAUGGAUUUUGGAUAUUCAAUAUGCUAUCAAUACUGCUUCUUUUGUAGUAUUGAAAGUACUAUGUUAAUGCUUCUUUAUAAACUAUUUAUUUUAUUAUCCUAGACAAACAGGUCCUCCAUAAAAUAUUCCUUAAUGUGACAUUUUAAUACGUCCUAUAGUCUAUAAUGAAAUUGUAUUAUUGUUAUUUAUUUGUAUUUAUUUGUAAUAUUCUGUUUAUGUUUACAGUUAAUCUUUUGCAAAUCAUUAAUCUGCUUGACAUUACACAUUUUAAU